rnacentral:rRNA from 1 species
AUGAAUGCUGGCGGCGUGCCUUAGGCAUGCAAGUCAAGGGGGCUCCGUAAGGAGCAACCGGGCCAGACGGGUGAGUAAACGCGUAGGAAUUCUACCUCUAGGUGGGACAUAGCCCUCCGAAAGGAGGGGUAAUUUCCCAUAGUUCUCGUAAGAGUAAAGCAAUUAACUUUGCGCCAAGAGAGGAAGCCUGCGUCCUAUCAGCUUGUUGGUGGGGGUUAAAAGCCUACCAAGGCGAUGACGGGUAGCUGGACUGAGAGGUCGAUCAGCCACAACUGCACUGAAACACGGGCAGUACACCUACGGGUGGCAGCAAACCGGGAAUAUUGCGCAAUGGGGGAAACCCUGACGCAGCGACGCCGCGUGAUGGAAGAAAGGCCUAUGGGUCGUAAACAUCUUUUUGCUAAGCCGUUCACAGCUUAGAGAAUAAGCCUCUACUAACUACGUGCCAGAAGUCUCGGUAAUACGUAGGAGGCAAGCAUUAUCCGGAUUUAUUGGGCGUAAGUGUGGCGUAGGCGGACCGGUGUGUCGUGUCUUAAAGACCAAGGCUUAACCUCGGAUUGGAUACGAAACUACCGGACUAGAGGAUUGACAGGGAUGCUAGAACAGUUAGUGUAGCAGUGAAAUGCGUUGAUAUUAACUGGAAUACCAAAGGCGAAGGCAGGCAUCUGGGUUUUUCCUGACGCUGAGGCACGAAAAGCCAGGGGAGCGAACGGGAUUAGAUUACCCCCGUAGUCCUGGCCGUAAAACGAUGUCCGCUAGAUUUUUCCUCGCCAAGCGCAUGAGUUUUAAUUACUCGUACGUUUAGGCGAGGAAGAGUCGCAGGUUAAACACGUUAAGCGGACCGCCUGGGGGAGUACGGUCGCAAGACUAAAACUCAAAGGAAUUGACGGGGACCCGCACAACCUGUGGAAGCGUGUGGUUCAAUUCGAGACAAAAACGAAGAACCUCACCAGGGUUUUGACAUACUACCGUUUAUUUCCCAAGAAACUGGAGAAAUCCGUAAGGAUGGUAGUACAGGUGCUGCAUGGCUGUCGUCAGCUCGUGCCGUGAGGUGUUCCCUUAAGUGGGAAACGAGCGCAACCCCCGCCAAAUGUUAAAUUUUCAUUUGGGACUAUCCCGUGUUUUUCACGGGGAGGAAGGAGGGGAAGGACGUCAAGUCAGCACGGCCCUUAUACCCUGGGGCCACACACACACUACAAUGGCGAAUAACAACGUGUCUGCAAGCGCGCAAGUGGCAAGCUAAUCACUAAAAUUUCGCCUCAGUUCAGAUUGGGGUCUGAAAACCCGACCCCAUGAAGCCGGAAUAGGUAGUAAUCGCAGAUCAGCAAGCUGCGGUGAAUACGUUCUCGGGUCCUUGUACACACCGCCCGUCAAGGCAGCAAAGUCGGGGAGUGGCCGAACAUUUCUUUUGAGAUGGAGGCCAAAUUCGCGGAUGAAGCUU